CUCUAGAGUUACGACUAAAAUUUCGGCGGAUCAAAAUUUUUGAUCUGUAACUUUGAUUUUGAAUCCGCGAAGGGUUACGGUUUCGUAUCGAUGCCCUCGUUCUAUCCGUGAAGUUUGGGUUAGAUCCAACGGUGAUUUAUAGAUGACUCGUUUUAGGAGGCUCGGUUUACGAUCGGUAUUUGUGGUGGGGUUUCGUUUUGUCGAGGUGAGUGGAUUUGUAUAAUAUGUUUCAAAUAUUCUUAUUUGUUACCAAAAUAGUCGAAAAACAUGAUUUUAAUCUUUUACGAAAUAUCUCUCUUUUUAUAGGGAAGCAUGUCGAUAUUGCGAAAUAUGUGGUGUUUGUAUAUAUUUAUGUGUUGGAUCUAUUAUUUGACUAGUCAUGAAACAUGUGAACUUCUUGAUUGGUUAUGCCGAAGUAAGGAUGUGACACACCGAGGUAUAGGACAUGAAAGUCAUUAGGUUCCCGUGAGGAUCACUAAAUUGAUCCAAUAAAAAGGGAUUGUGCGAUGUGAUGAAUUGCAAUAAGUGAUGUGUAUACGAUAUACGUAUUUUAUAACGUGUGUAAAAUGACAUGGCUUUGCGGGCAUAUUACAUUGGUCUACUCACUGAGCGCAUGGUUAUGCUCACCCACCCAUCUUUGACAUUUUUUGCAAAAAAAUACUUAGGUUGUACCGAGCCGGGAAAAUGGUAGACGACGAGCCUAGAGUGAAGAAAUUGUAGACAACGAGCCUAGAAUAUAGUACUUUUGUUCACAUUCUGCUUUGUAACACUUAUUCACGCCUCGAAAUCGGCGUCCGGUGCCUAAAACCCGCCGACGUCGGGACCGGGGUGUGACAUAUAUUCAGAAGGGCUCCAAUUCAGAACUCUGCUGAAUUGCUAAUCGUAAUCCCAUACGUAAUAGAAGUUAUCUUCAUUGAUCAAGCUAAACAAUAACACUUCAGCACCCAUCGGUGCGAACAAGGAAUAUUAAUUAGUUAUCAACGUCCUCAGAGUUGCCAUUAGCUAGCUAGCUUGUAGCUGGGUGGGAAAUCCUAUAUAUCUAACUUGAUAUGAAAAAUAAGUCAUCUUGCUUCAUGUGUUAAUUAAUUUUCCGAUACAAUCUGAUAGAUCACCGAUAUCGCUGAGGUCGAUCGGAUACGCAAACAAUA
rnacentral:lncRNA from 1 species